rnacentral:rRNA from 1 species
GUAAGGAAUAUUGGACAAUGGACGCAAGUCUGAUCCAGCCAUGCCGCGUGAAGGAUUAAGGUCCUCUGGAUUGUAAACUUCUUUUAUAAGGGACGAAAAAAGGCUUUUCUAAGUCGUCUGACGGUACCUUAUAAAUAAGCACCGGCUAACUCCGUGCCAGCAGCCGCGGUAAUACGGAGGGUGCAAGCGUUAUCCGGAUUCACUGGGUUUAAAGGGUGCGUAGGCGGGCAGGUAAGUCAGUGGUGAAAUCCUAGAGCUUAACUCUAGAACUGCCAUUGAUACUAUCUGUCUUGAAUAUUGUGGAGGUAAGCGGAAUAUGUCAUGUAGCGGUGAAAUGCUUAGAUAUGACAUAGAACACCUAUUGCGAAGGCAGCUUACUACGCAUAUAUUGACGCUGAGGCACGAAAGCGUGGGGAUCAAACAGGAUUAGAAACCCGUGUAGUCC